rnacentral:rRNA from 1 species
GUGCAGCAGGCGAGAAUACUUUACAAUGUGCGAAAGCACGAUAAGGGAACUCUGAGUGCCUCCUAAGGAGGCUGUUCAGGUGUCUAAAAAGCACCUGAAGGAAGGGCUGGGUAAGACCGGUGCCAGCCGCCGCGGUAACACCGGCAGCCCAAGUGGUAGCCACGUUUAUUGGGUCUAAAGCGUCCGUAGCCGGCUGGGUAAGUUCCUUGGGAAAUUUGGCUGCUUAACAGUCAAGCUUUCAGGGAAUACUGCUCGGCUUGGGACCGGGAGAGGGUCAGAGGGUACUCCAGGGGUAGGGGUGAAAUCCAUUAAUCCUUGGGGGACCACCGGUAGCGAAGGCGUCUGACCCAGACCCGGGUCCGACGGUGAGGGACGAAGGCUAAGGGGGC